UGAUACUAGGGUGAAAAGGUAUGAAUCCAUAUGAGCCUGCUCAUAAGUGGAUAAAAGACCUUUGAACCCGUCCCAAUCUGAGCAUAAAAUGGAAUUGUAAUCCUGAGAUAUGCGAAUAGUGGGAUGGAUUAUGGGAGUGCGUAGCACCGAACAAUCCAUAGGUAUCA
rnacentral:sRNA from 21 species